rnacentral:lncRNA from 1 species
CUUUUUUUUUUUUUUUUUUCCUAACUUCUUUCCCACUUCCUGAAAUCUGCCGCUGUGCAAACACACACAAGAAUGAAAAACAAAAAUAAAAGAAGAAAAUUAUAUCAUUUUUGUGGGUUUUAUGCUUAAUGGUUGACAAAAACUUAAUAAUACACUGAAAGUUCUAACCUUCAAAGGGUGGUUGUGUCAUGCUAUGGGUUCCAGUGCAGUAUCAUUUGGAGCUUUUAUUUAGGGUUUAGCUGCAAUUGUUUGUAGAUGGUUCGCAGAUCCUCAUGAUAGUGCCUUACUAAAUGUUGAUGAAAUGACUAAUAAGCUCAACGUACUUUUGAUACUUGGUACUGGGACAAUCUACUUGAUGGUCACAUGUCAAAUUCUUUUACCUAGGGAUAGAAUUGGAGGCUAGCUGCUUCAUGCGCUAAGAUCUUCCUUAAUGGAGAUGUACUUGUACCAUCACUCAAAACCCUUUUUUAAUUUUCUAUGAGAUUUUAUUGUUAAUAUCAAUGACUUUUGCUGGUUUAUUUGCAAGGUGCUUUGUCUGGAUUAAUUAAAGUUAACAUAUUCCACUAUAAUUUGAUUUGACAAUCUCCCUUUAUAGUGCAUAUGACCCUUCAAAUUCAUAGCAUACUCUAGAUGAAGAAUUAACCUUCUAUAUUUUAUCUGGUUUCGGUUUAACAACUGUUGGGAGUUAUAUAGGCUUUUUGUGUUUGCUGUUUGACAGUGUUUGUAAUGUUGAGGAUCAUUUGCACUGUUGUCUAUCUGUAAUAUACGUACAUUUUUCCCUUCUGCUUUUUCUGAAUGCUGCUUAUUUGUAUUAGGUACAUGGUCCUGGGGCGGAUAUAGAUACACUCUGCGUGGGACCCAGACACGCAACAAGAGAUGUAGGAUCAAUUCUACCCUAUUGUGGUGCAGAUAUCUUUUUUGGUUCAAACUUGUUUUAUUGGAUUGUUAUAAAACUUUUGUUACAAAUGCAGGACGAUUUUUUUGGUGAGCUACAGAGAAUGCUGUCAGAAAUGCCUGAAGUUUCAGAGCUGCAUCCUGUACCUGACGCUCAUGUCCCUGUGUUGAAAUUCAAAUUUAGUGGAAUUUCAAUAGACCUCCUUUAUGCAAAAUUGUCUCUAUGGGUUAUUCCAGAAGUAAGUGCCUGUCUUAGACCUUUCUAACUUCAUGAAUUCACAAUAAGCAGUCAAUACUAAAUAACUGUUGAGCUCUUCAAACUUCUAAUUGGAGAUUUAUUGGGGUAUAUUCUCGGUAAUUAUUAAAUUAAAGUUCUUCACCAAGUAGAAUGGCUAAUAUUGGUGUAUUAGGUUUCUUUGGUUCAAUUUUCGUGGUCAUAUAAUAGGCGUCUCAGUGCAUGUUAUUUGUCUACCUUUUGUAGUCUGCUGCCUAUCGCGGAUAGUGCGUCUUCAUUUUCUUUGAGCUAAUAUGUUGAAGAGAUAAAGAUUAGAUUUUCAUUUCCAAGCUGGUGGUUUGAUUAUCUUCAUGGUGCCUAGAAAAUUUUCCUUGAUGUUAAUAAGUAUUUUUUUUAAUUCAGUUAUAUAUUUUUACACUGUCAAGUACUCAAUAAGCAGUCUGAUGUUUUCCUUUUUUUCAUAACUCUUCUGCUACAGGAUCUUGAUAUCUCACAAGAGUCAAUACUGCAGAAUGCUGAUGAGCAGACUGUACGCAGUCUGAACGGUUGUAGAGUUACUGAUCAGAUUUUACGAUUAGUGCCAAAUAUUCAGGUCUUAACCAUUUGUAAUGCAUUAUUGUUUAUAUCAGAAUCUUCAUGUUUAAGUAUAGUUCUAAUCAAAUAAUUUUGUGCUGAUGCAGAACUUCCGCACAACAUUGAGAUGCAUGAGGUAUUGGGCCAAGCGUCGCGGUGUUUAUUCAAAUGUAUGGGCUAGUGUUCUAGAGAUGCCAAGUUUGCAGUAUUCACAUGCUUCUUAUUACAUAUUUUUAUGUAGAGCAUUAAACUUUUCUUAUGGUCAGGUUGCAGGUUUCUUAGGUGGUAUAAAUUGGGCCUUGCUUGUUGCUCGCAUAUGCCAGCUUUAUCCUAAUGCAUUGCCAAACAUGUUAGUCUCACGGUUCUUCAGGGUCUACACACAGUGGCGCUGGCCUAAUCCAGUUAUGCUCUGCGAAAUUGAAGAUGGAUCACUUGGACUACCAGUUUGGGAUCCUAGAAGAAAUCCAAAGGACAGGUUCCACUUGAUGCCCAUAAUAACUCCUGCUUAUCCCUGCAUGAACUCUAGCUAUAAUGUAUCGUCAAGCACUCUGCGGAUUAUGACAAACGAGUUUCAAAGGGGAAAUGAAAUAUGUGAGGUACAGUUCUUCUUGUGGAUGUUCUAGUUUGUCUUGUCUUUAUGUUUUUUAUUUCUCAGCCCCCCUAGCCCCUCCCCCUCAAUAUCUGCAUUCCUGUGGCAGACUCAAUUUGACAUGUUUGUUAUCUUGUGGUGUCGGGCAAUGGUCCUACUUUCAAAUUGUACUCAAGUCCUUAUUUCCCUCUUUCGCUCCUCCUUUUUCUUUUUUUUCUUUUUGGGUUUUUGUUUGUUUUUUUUUUGUUUUCGCCCCGGGGGGGGGGUGGUGUUUCCGGGAUUUGGAUAUUUGUGGAUUUCGGUUGUGUUUAGGUGUUUUCAUUAGGGCUCAUUGCCAAUUCAUAAGAUCUCUUUUAGUCCAUUGGAUACUUUGAUAAAAUAAUAAACUUUAUUGCUUUUGAGACUUUUGAGGUGAUGACUGCUUCUUCAUAUUUUUCAUAUUUCCUGUCUCUCUUAGUACAGCAUUCUUGGAUCUAAGUCUCAUUGCAUCUGUUACUCUGUCCUGCAUAAUGUAAUUAUUAUGUAUGCUAUUUGAUUUAUAGACAUAUAUUUCUGUGGUGAGCUUUGGCAGCUAUUGAAGCCUUGAUCCAGUUCUGUUUGCAUGUUUUUCUUGGUUUUGGUUAUGAAUUCAGUCAAUUUUGUGAGAGGGACCAUCUAGAAAGAACUGAAAAUUAUUCUAAAACUCCUGUGGCUAUAUAUUUGUUACUCACUCGUGCUGCCCUUCUGCUCUAUGUAAUUUGCUCUUUCCUUCAGGCCAUGGAUGCAAACAAAUGCAACUGGGAUAAACUUUUUGAACUUUAUCCUUUCUUUGAGGCAUAUAAGAAUUAUCUGCAGAUAGAUGUUACUGCCGCAAAUGCUGCUGACUUGAUGAAUUGGAAGGGCUGGGUUGAAUCCCGCUUGCGGCAACUUACAUUAAAGGUCAUUUCUAUUAGUCUUACUGCUUAUAUGUCUUACUUUAUAUGCACAUAUACAGAUUUAUUACUUGUCCCUGACACGUGGGUCAUUCUAACAACUAGAUUGAGAGGCAUACUCUGAACAUGCUUCAGUGCCAUCCACACCCAGGGGACUUCUCAGACAAAUCAAGACCAUUUUAUUGUUGUUACUUUAUGGGUCUCCAACGGAAACAAGGAGUGGCUGCCAAUGAGGGGGAGCAGUUUGAUAUUAGGUUGACUGUUGAGGAAUUCAAGCAUGCUGUUGGCAUGUAUAACACGUGGAAGCCUGGAAUGGAGAUCCAUGUAUGCCAUGUCAAACGUAGGAGCAUACCUGCAUUUGUGUUUCCCGGUGGGGUUCGGCCUCGUCCCACCAAAGUAGCUGGAGAAGGUAGGCGUCCUUCACAAACCAAAGUAUCCAGUCAUACUGAAGAUAGUUCUUUUCCGAAGGCAUUGAAUGGUGGGAGUAAAAGGAAAAGGGAUGAUACUGAUACAGCGACCAGUUUAAAUGCAAAACGUAUAGCUGGUGUGGGGGAAUCAGGUGAGCUAGUGCAUGAGGGUAGACCAUCUGGUUGCAUUGGUACUUCGUACUUGGGCAAUGCUAGUUUAGAAACGCCAGGAAAAAUUUUUAACGAGAAGGUUGAAGAUAAUAUGGGUAAUGGAUUAGAAAAUCCCAUUUGUCUGCCUCAGGCCUCUUCUCAAAAUGGUGGAGAAUUAGAUGCAUCUUUAAGGCUUGAUCCAUCUACACCUGCUGAUUCCAUUUCAUUAAGCUCCAAAGAAGCUGAAAAACUUGCAAUUGAAAAGAUGAUGACUGGUCCAUAUGUUGCACACCAAACAUUCCCUCAAGAACUUGAUGAGCUUGAAGAUGAUCCUGAGUACAAAAAUCAGGGGAAAAUUACUGGUGGGAGCGUGAAAGGGAGCUCCAUGGAGUCCUCAGCUACAAAAGGGUCACUUAUAGUUUCUCUUACCACUAGCACAGCUGCUGGUUCUUGCUCCAGCUUGCAAUCGAGUGGGAAAUUAGAAGAACUUGAGGUAUUGCCUAUGAACGUACUGUCUUGUAGAUAUUGAGAUUCUUUUUUUGCUUGGUUGGUUUUUAUUCAUUUUGAUAUUCUGAAUGUCGACAUACCAUCACUGGUAUCAAUACUUGCAAACGGGCUUAUUACUGUUUAUGCUUAGAAGUAAUUAUUUACUUGUCACUUGUAUGCAAUCGAAUGGACUUUUUUAUUUAAUGAUUUGCUGUAAUAGCCAAAAGAUCAUCCAUAGAUUUAGGUUGUAGUAAUUGUGGAUUCUACACAGCUGUUGUGUUUAAUUGCAAGAAAACCUUGAGCAGAAGAUGCUAGGGGAGUUAUCAAAUGUCAGACACAUUAAACUGAACAUGUGACUGGAAAGGACGGUCCAACUUACAUGCUACAAGAGGCAGGAAAUAAUAUUGGACUUUGUUCCUUGUUCUGAUUUAAGAGCAUAAUGUUGCAUCUUGUUCUAUACUGUUUUUAUGAACUUCCUUUUGUUGUUCAUACUGUAUUGCUAUUGGAGAGACUCCAAACCUGAAAGCGUCUCUCUCUUUCUUGUGUUUGAGUUUCUUAUAUACCUUUCUUUUGUUUUUUAAUCUGCUAUUUGACAUACUAUUGAUCUUUUUAACCAGAAAUUUGGCCUUGUAAUGUGCGGCAUUCCUUUUUUUUUCUCCCCUAUUCUUUCCUCAUUCUCAGAAUGAUAAAAGGCCUCUCUGACCUUCCAUUGGACUUGUAUGGCAUCUCUAUGCAUGGCUGUGUCUUUCCAUACAUCAGCUGUUAUGCAUUUGGUGUUCUCAUCUACUUUCCAUGGAUAAAUUGAGGCGUGAGUUGAAAGAUUUGUUUACUUGGAGUGCCUCUGACAUUAUUUAGUUUCCUCUUUUCUUUCUGGGUUCAAUUUUGCUGUUACUGUGAAGCCACCUGAACUUCUGCCUCCAGCAUCCCGUCUGAAUUCAGCUACUUCAGCACCAAAGCCUGUUCUCAGGUGACACGAGUUUAAUCAGUUCUUUAAAUUUGAUUAAUUGGACAUUUUUGCUGCGAUGCACUAAUUUCAUGUAUAAGAAACAUGUAUUGCACUUGUGUUAUAAGCAAAAACAGUUUUUGAGUGUCUUCAUGGGGGAAGUUGAAAAUUGGGCAUCUUAGGUAGUGUUUCUUAUGAUUCUUGAGAGCCGUAGUUUUAGAUGCUGCUACCCGUACAGGAAUGUGACUAUGAGAAGCAUUUGAAAAGUUUGCAAGGUUAGCUGUUUGAGUUUUUUUUUUUUUUUUUUUUUUUUAGAGCAACAAAAAAUGUAUCCGGAAAGUGUAUGACAGAUAUCAACACAUAUUUUCUUUUACUGGAAUUUCAUUUUAUGUUGCCAUUAUAUUGGUCCUCAAGUCUUGGCUAAAUUUCAGUUUCAUACUUCUGUUGAUGAAUUCUUGCUCCAUUGGAUGGAUUUCUGUAAGUUUUUAUGUCUCUUACACCGUUGAUCCUAUCCCUUGCGUCUCUCCCUGCCAAUUGUUAAUGUUGUUUGCAGGUUUAACUUCACCUCCUUGGCUAAGGCUACUGGCGAAAGCACUAAGACCUAAAGAUGUCCAUCUCCGGAAGAGAAGGUCCUUGAGGAGUUGUUCGUAUGUUGUAAAAAUGAUGUUGGAUUUCAGCAAAUCUUUUUCUCCUUUUGUAAUAAUAAUAAUUACUUUUACCCCUUUUUGGAUUGAUGAUAAUGAAAGAUUCAAGUCUAUCACCUUCUGGAAUUUUUUACCCCUUUUAACCACUCAUCAAAGAUGGAAUCAGAUUAACAGAUACUACUACUCGUAGUAUUUCUCAUGCUUGUCUUUUUACUAGUUUUAGUCUAAUCUCGUCGUAGCUUGCAUUUCAUAGAAGCCACACAAGCUAAGGAAAAUAACACAAUUCAUAGCUGAUGAUUACCAUAGGUUGGAAAGGGUUGUUCACUUGAGUGAUUCUUGUACUGUUCUUUGCCCUGUUAAUAUAUUCAUUAAUGAAUUAGAGGGAUUUUUUUCUUUUGAGUUUCCUGAACAAUAUUUGAGAUUAUAUACGCUGUAGAAACAGUAAUGGUGAAAACAUUUUGAUUUUCUGAAUUUCAACUUUCCAGUUUGGAUGUUAUUGGUUUUGUGCUAGAAGGCUUGGGAGAAAUUUUUCCCCAAAAAAAAAAAACGAAAGGAAAAGAAAAAAUUUGUGUAAAGAGUGGUAGAAUUGUAAUUCAUUGUGAACCACUCUAUAAGCCCCAAAAAACAAAAACUAAGUGUGAGAGAGAGAGAGAGAGAAGGGAAAAGAUGUUAUUUCAACGAAUCCGCUGAAAAUUGGAAAGUGUAAAGCAAAGCAAUGGCUGGCCCUGGGUUUGGCAACCAGAGUAGCGGGCAACGACUUGGCAUUACCGAGCCAAUUUCAUGGAGUGGACCAACAGAAUAUGAUAUGAUCAAAACCCGUGAGCUUGAAAAGGUUAUAGAUGAAUUCCUAUUUAUAGACACACAAACAUGCAUGUUGCUAGUAGGAGUAAUUGUUUUGUUGAGGAUUAUUCAAAAUAGGUAAUGCAUGUAUGCGUUUGCAGUUUUUAGCAGAUGUUGGGUUGUACGAGAGCCAGGAGGAAGCCAUCAGUAGGGAGGAAGUGCUUGGUAGACUUGACCAGGUUCGCUGGUUUAAUCAACGCCAAUUUUUGUAGUUUUGACAAGUUUGUGGAUUAUGAUGUAUACGGCUGCUGUGGUUGUUGGGUAUUUGAGCAGAUUGUAAAGACAUGGGUGAAAAAUGUAAGCCGUGCCAAGGGUUUAAAUGAGCAGUUGGUGCAAGAAGCAAAUGCAAAGAUAUUUACCUUUGGCUCAUAUCGGCUUGGGGUAUGCAGCUUUUUUUUUUUUUUUUUUCCUAACUUCUUUCCCACUUCCUGAAAUCUGCCGCUGUGCAAACACACACAAGAAUGAAAAACAAAAAUAAAAGAAGAAAAUUAUAUCAUUUUUGUGGGUUUUAUGCUUAAUGGUUGACAAAAACUUAAUAAUACACUGAAAGUUCUAACCUUCAAAGGGUGGUUGUGUCAUGCUAUGGGUUCCAGUGCAGUAUCAUUUGGAGCUUUUAUUUAGGGUUUAGCUGCAAUUGUUUGUAGAUGGUUCGCAGAUCCUCAUGAUAGUGCCUUACUAAAUGUUGAUGAAAUGACUAAUAAGCUCAACGUACUUUUGAUACUUGGUACUGGGACAAUCUACUUGAUGGUCACAUGUCAAAUUCUUUUACCUAGGGAUAGAAUUGGAGGCUAGCUGCUUCAUGCGCUAAGAUCUUCCUUAAUGGAGAUGUACUUGUACCAUCACUCAAAACCCUUUUUUAAUUUUCUAUGAGAUUUUGUUGUUAAUAUCAAUGACUUUUGCUGGUUUAUUUGCAAGGUGCUUUGUCUGGAUUAAUUAAAGUUAACAUAUUCCACUAUAAUUUGAUUUGACAAUCUCCCUUUAUAGUGCAUAUGACCCUUCAAAUUCAUAGCAUACUUUAGAUGAAGAAUUAACCUUCUGUAUUUUAUCUGGUUUUGGUUUAACAACUGUUGGGAGUUAUAUAGGCUUUUUGUGUUUGCUGUUUGACAGUGUUUGUAAUGUUGAGGAUCAUUUGCACUGUUGUCUAUCUGUAAUAUACGUACAUUUUUCCCUUCUGCUUUUUCUGAAUGCUGCUUAUUUGUAUUAGGUACAUGGUCCUGGGGCGGAUAUAGAUACACU